rnacentral:lncRNA from 1 species
CGCAAAGCGUUCUGGGACUCGUGGUUCGCAGGGUCGUAAGGAAAAGCGGAGCGGCGUCCAGUCCAGCUGGAUGUUUCCCCAGCCGAGCUCGGGGUCCCGCGAGCUUCAGUCCCUGCUCAGCUUCACCCCGCGGGGGAUUCUGGGAGGGGAUGUCGCGAGUCUCGAGUCGCUGGGCGGGUUUCCAGAACCCGCGGCGCCGCGGGGAGAAUGAAGAAACGUUGGCUCUGAGGGGACUGUGCAAUUUGUUAUUGGUUUGUAUUAAAAAUGAGCAAUGCCUGCCUCAAGCUGUAUUCCCGUGAAGUAAUAAAGGAUACUGUUCUCCAAAAGAGAAGAUUGAAGAAGGAAAGAAGAAUGGCUGUUGGACUUUGUAAAGCCAUGUCCCAGUGCUGUGCUCAAAUAUGUGAUGGAAAAGAACUAUCCUCUUUAGACGGAUCAUGACUUGUGCUGGCGAUCAGUGCAAGUGAAAUAAAGGACAGAGGUGUGAUUAUUGAGUGCCCUAU